rnacentral:rRNA from 1 species
CAAUAGCGUAUAUUUAAGUUGUUGCAGUUAAAAAGCUCGUAGUUGGAUUUCGGGUGUGAACGACCGGUCCGUCUUUGAUGUGUACUGGUUGGUUGCGCCUUAUUGUCGAGGACGUGGUUCUAGCUUUCAUUAGCCGGGACACGGAGUCGGCAGCGUUACUUUGAGAAAAUUAGAGUGUUCAAAGCAGGCUAUCGCUCUGAAUACUACGGCAUGGAAUAACACGAUAGGACUCCGAGCCUAUUCUGUUGGUCUUCGGGACCGGAGUAAUGAUUAAGAGGGACAGUUGGGGGCAUUCGUAUUCCGAUGUCAGAGGUGAAAUUCUUGGAUUAUCGGAAGACGAGCAUCUGCGAAAGCAUUUGCCAAGGAUGUUUUCAUUAA